AGGGGUGCGUCGCUGGCGCGCGGAUUAACAACGACCAUCAACAAACAAUCGAUUCAGAACUGGCACGGACCAGGGAAAUCCGACUGUCUAAUUAAAACA
rnacentral:rRNA from 1 species